AAGACUAUACUUAUAGGGAUCAUUUCUAUAGUUUGUUACUAGAGAAGUUUCUCUGAAUGUGUAGAGGACCUGAAACCAUAAGGAGGAGAUAGUGUUCCCUCCUGAACAUGAAGUCAGUCGGUUCUUGGUGUUGCUUCAGUAACUGCCAUUUGCUAUUGAUGAUCCUUCUCCUCUCUCUCCAUUGAGGGAGUGAGGGGGAGAGAACAUCAUCACAGUGGA